rnacentral:rRNA from 1 species
UACGGAAGGCAGCAGUGGGGAAUAUUGCACAAUGGGCGCAAGCCUGAUGCAGCCAUGCCGCGUGUAUGAAGAAGGCCUUCGGGUUGUAAAGUACUUUCAGUCGUGAGGAAGGUGUUAAGGUUAAUAACCUUAGCAAUUGACGUUAGCGACAGAAGAAGCACCGGCUAACUCCGUGCCAGCAGCCGCGGUAAUACGGAGGGUGCGAGCGUUAAUCGGAAUUACUGGGCGUAAAGGGCACGCAGGCGGUUAAUAAGUUGGAUGUGAAUCCCCGGGCUUAACCUGGGAAUGGCAUUCAAGACUGGUUAGCUAGAGUCUUGUAGAGGGGGUAGAAUUCCAUGUGUAGCGGUGAAAUGCGUAGAGAUGUGGAGGAAUACCGGUGGCGAAGGCGGCCCCUGGGACAAAGACUGACGCUCAUGUGCGAAAGCGUGGGGAGCGAAACAGGAUUAGAUACC